rnacentral:rRNA from 1 species
AUUGAACGCUGGCGGCAGGCCUAACACAUGCAAGUCGAGCGGAUGAAGGGAGCUUGCUCCUGGAUUCAGCGGCGGACGGGUGAGUAAUGCCUAGGAAUCUGCCUGGUAGUGGGGGAUAACGUCCGGACACGGGCGCUAAUACCGCAUACGUCCUGAGGGAGAAAGUGGGGGUUCUUCGGACCUCACGCUAUCAGAUGAGCCUAGGUCGGAUUAGCCAGUUGGUGGGGUAACGGCCUACCAAGGCGACGUUCCGUAACUGGUCUGAGAGGAUGAUCAGUCACACUGGAACUGAGACGCGGUCCAGACUACUACGGGAGGCAGCAGUGGGGAAUAGUGGGCAAAGGGCGAAAGCCUUACCCAGCCAUGCCGCGGGGGUUAAGAAGGUCUUCGGAUUGUAAAGCACGAUAAGUUGGGAAGAAAGGCAGUAAGUUAAUACCUUGCUGUAUUGACGUUACCAACAGAAUAAGCACCAGCUAACUACGUG